GUCCAUGCCGUAAACGUUGGGCACUAGGUGUGGGUUCCAACCAACGGAAUCCGCGCCGUCGCUAACGCAUUAAGUGCCCCGCCUGGGGGAGUACGGCCGCAAGGUUAAAACUCAAAAGGAAUUGACGGGGGCCCGCACAAGCAGCGGAGCGUGUUGCUUAAUUCGAUGCUACGCGAAGAACCUUACCUGGGCUUGACAUGUGGGGAAAAGCACUAGAGAUAGUGUGUCCUUGGGGCCUCACACAGGUGGUGCAUGGCUGUCGU
rnacentral:rRNA from 1 species